UACGGAGGGGGCAAGCGUUGUUCGGAAUCAUUGGGCGUAAAGGGCGUGUAGGCGGCCUGACCAAGUCGAAUGUGAAAUCCCUCGGCUCAACCGAGGAACUGCAUCCGAUACUGGUUGGCUAGAGUCCGGGAGAGGGCAGCGGAAUUCCCAGUGUAGCGGUGAAAUGCGUAGAUAUUGGGAAGAACACCGGUGGCGAAGGCGGCUGCCUGGACCGGAACUGACGCUGAGGCGCGAAAGCCAGGGGAGCGAAUGGG
rnacentral:misc_RNA from 1 species